AGAGUGAACGCUGGCGGUAGGCCUAACACAUGCAAGUCGAACGGCAGCACGGUAAGAGCUUGCUCUUAUGGGUGGCGAGUGGCGGACGGGUGAGGAAUACAUCGGAAUCUACCUUUUGGUGGGGGAUAACGUAGGGAAACUUACGCUAAUACCGCAUACGCCCUUCGGGGGAAAGCCGGGGACCAGCAAUGGCCUGGUGCUGAUAGAUGAGCCGAUGUCGGAUUAGCUAGUUGGUGAGGUAAUGGCUCACCAAGGCGACGAUCCGUAGCUGGUCUGAGAGGAUGAUCAGCCACACUGGAACUGAGACACGGUCCAGACUCCGUACGGGAGGCAGCAGUGGGGAAUAGUU
rnacentral:rRNA from 1 species